AUGAGGAGAAGCCGUGGGAAAACUGAGUGGAUGGACAAAAAAUGGACCAGAGGAGUUCUCACACAUCCAACUCAGAAGGAUGGCAAUAACUGUGGUGUUGUGGUCAUCAUGCUGUGUCAAGAGCAUUGAUGGAGGCCUUUCCAACGGUUCCAACAAUCACGUUUGGGACAUCCAAAAAGGACAUGAAGAAUGAGAGAAAAACACUGGCUCUCAAAAUACUGAAAGCUUCAGUGUUUGAGUUUGAAAGCAACUGCCAUGUGCUCCAUGGCAGAUCCUCCUGGAUCUGGGCCUCCACUGACAAAUUGG